rnacentral:rRNA from 1 species
AGAGUUUGAUCCUGGCUCAGAACGAACGCUGGCGGCGUGCCUAACACAUGCAAGUCGAGCGCGAAAGUCCCUUCGGGGGCGAGUAGAGCGGCGGACGGGUGAGUAAUACAUGGAUAAUCUCCCUUCGAGCUCGGGAUAACACUGCGAAAGCGGUGCUAAUACCGGAUAAGACCACGUCACCCAGGUGAUGCGGUAAAAGAUGGCUUUGUUUUCGGAUGAGGCUAUCACUUGAGGAUGAGUCCAUGGCCUAUCAGCUUGUUGGUGAGGUAAAGGCUCACCAAGGCGAUGACGGGUAGCUGGUCUGAGAGGACGACCAGCCACACUGGGACUGAGACACGGCCCAGACUCCUACGGGAGGCAGCAGUGGGGAAUAUUGGGCAAUGGGCGAAAGCCUGACCCAGCGACGCCGUGUGGGCGAUGAAGGCCUUCGGGUUGUAAAGCCCUGUUGGGUGGAAAGAAGGGCUCUAGGACGAAUAAUCCCUGAGUCUUGACGGUACCACCAGAGGAAGCACCGGCUAACUCCGUGCCAGCAGCCGCGGUAAUACGGAGGGUGCAAGCGUUGUUCGGAAUUACUGGGCGUAAAGGGCGCGUAGGUGGUUGUGUAAGUCAGAUGUGAAAUCCCGAGGCUCAACCUCGGAACUGCAUCUGAUACUGCAUGACUAGAGUGCAGCAGAGGGAAACGGAAUUCCCAGUGUAGAGGUGAAAUUCGUAGAUAUUGGGAGGAACACCGGUGGCGAAGGCGGUUUCCUGGGCUGACACUGACACUGAGGCGCGAAAGCGUGGGUAGCAAACAGGAUUAGAUACCCUGGUAGUCCACGCUGUA